GUUGACGAAAGAAAAAGCUGAGGUGGGGAAGGAGGAAGGCACGGGGCCGCCGUGGUCAUGGCGGGGACCAUCCUGGCCAUGGAGAAAUGUCCAAACUCGGGCGGCGACUCCAUUACAAGAAGCAGCGGAAUCGAAUUGGUGAUGGAACAGCGAUCAUUUUGUUUACCUCUUCGCAUCAGAAUGUUGGAAUCUUGAAGGACGGGGAAAAAAUAAAAGGAGGUCUUUUUGAGGCUGAAAUCUUCGCGAAGUGGGAUCAACCAAAUGAACGACGCAUAGCGCGGGGAGGUAGGUGGGAGAAAUGGGGAGCAUCGGCAGCGAGGAGCCGGCGCAGUGGGAGAAGGCGGAGGGCGGUGGCACUGUUGGGGAGGAGGAGAGGAUACUGGUCUCGGUGAGGCUGAGGCCGCUCAAUGCCAAGGAGUUGGAGCGCAAUGACACCUCGGAUUGGGAGUGCAUUGAUCGCACCACCGUCGUCUUCAAGAACAACCUCCCCGACCGAUCCAUGUAUCCGACAGCCUAUACUUUUGACAGAGUUUUCGGGUCAAAGUGCGGCACAAGGGAUGUGUACGAGGAAGGAGCCAAGGAAGUUGCUCUUUCUGUUGUAAGUGGAAUUAAUGCAACUAUAUUUGCCUAUGGGCAAACUAACAGCGGAAAGACAUACACAAUGACAGGGAUAACCGAGUAUAGUGUAGCAGAUAUCUAUGACCACAUAAAGAGGAAUGAGGAGAGAGAAUUCAUUCUAAAAUUCUCAGCUAUGGAGAUAUACAAUGAAGUGGUUAGGGAUCUCCUCAGUAUGGAUGGUUCCCCUCUUCGGCUACUUGACGAUCCAGAGAGAGGAACUAUAGUGGAGAAACUUACAGAGGAAACUCUGAGGGAUGAGAACCACCUCAAGGAGCUUCUUUCCACAUGUGAAGCACAAAGACAGACAGGGGAAACCUCCCUAAAUGAAAUGAGCUCACGAUCACAUCAGAUACUCAGAUUGACAAUUGAAAGUUCUGCUCGAGAGCUUCUGAAUAGGAACAGCUCAAGCACUCUUGCAGCCACCGUGAAUUUUGUUGAUCUUGCAGGGAGUGAACGAGCAUCUCAAACUGGUGCUAGACUGAAGGAAGGCUGCCACAUUAAUCGAAGCUUGCUUACCCUUGGAACUGUCAUACGCAAGCUAAGCAAGGGAAGAAAUGGGCACAUUCCAUAUCGAGAUUCAAAAUUGACACGCAUACUGCAGUCUUCCUUGGGAGGUAAUUCAAGAACAGCUAUUAUCUGUACAAUGAGCCCUGCACGAAGCCACAUCGAGCAGUCCAGGAAUACCCUUCUUUUUGCAAGCUGUGCAAAACAAGUAGUUACAAAUGCACAGGUCAAUGUAGUGAUGUCUGAUAAGGCAUUGGUUAAGCAUCUACAAAGAGAAGUUUUCAGAUUGGAGAGUGAACUGAAAUAUCCAGGAUCGGCCUCCUGUUCUUCUCAUUUUGAAGCCCUAAGGGAUAAAGAUGCUCAGAUUGAAAAGAUGGAGCGAGAAAUCAAGGAGCUGAUACAGCAAAGAGAUCUUGCUCAAUCUCAACUCAAAGAUUUGCUUGCCACUGUAGAUGAUGAUCAAGCGUCAAGUCAAUGGCAUGAACUGAGUCACGCCUCUGUAUCACAUGUGCACAAUAUGCCUGAGGAUGUAUGUUCCAUUUCUGGAACAUCAGGUAUUGCAUAUCAAAGUUCAGAGUUUGGCUCUAUAAGUUUUGAUGCACCACAUCAAAGCAACAAUGAAUAUCAUGUAGAGCUUUCUGAUAAACUGGACAUAGUUCCAGAUAUCUCUCCUAGGCACUCAGUCAGCAGUUCUAUGUCUACUGGAAUGAUUUUACAGCAGACAAGGGACAAAAGUUUUGAAGCCUCAUCAAACGAUUUUGAAGACCAUUACAGGGAAGUUAGGUGUCUUGAGAUACAUGCUUUAGGCACAAAUAGAAUUGAGGAGUUCAAUCCACCAUUGACUGAAGAAAGUGAUGAUCUACCAUCUCAGACUGAUUUAGACAAUCUUGAAGAUACUGGACCACAAUCUGUAAGCUAUGCAUUUCUAAGACCUGAAACGGAGCAAUCAGUGAAGAGCAUAUCAGAGACAAUUGAUGAUUUCAUAAAAACAUGUCUUGAUGAUAUGUCUCCAUGGCCCACAAUGCCAAAAAUAAUGACUUUCAGGGAGUUGCCACUAACUAGAAGCAGAAGUUGCAGGGCAAGCCUUAUGACUACUUCAUCCUCUUUUUGGACUGAAGAGGCAGAGCAGCAUGACGGGAGACCACCUACGAACUUCUUGAAUGAGUUUCCUGUCAGCCUUGGCUGGAUUCCAAGAAAAAUUUCUGUGCCAUUGAAUGAUAUAAAAAAUGAGGCACACUCAUUUGAAGGAUCCCAGAACACGGAAGAGCCUAUUCCUAGUCAUGUCAUUGAAGACCAGAAUAUUAGGAUUGUUCCUGAAGAGGAUAUUACCAAUGUCAGUAACUUUUUUUCAGGAGUGGUUCAGAUGGCUCAGAGCCAGCAUCAAAAGGAACUUACUGAUGAUCAGGAGACUCAAUGGGCCCAAGUUGAAGAAUUCGAAGUUGAGAAAACUGUAAAGGAUGUUGGAGUAGACUCAGUAUUGUAUUCUAUUGAAUCUCCUUCGAGAUGGCCAAUAGAGUUUCAGAGAAAGCAGCAGGAGAUAAUUGAACUUUGGCAUGCAUGCAAUGUUUCCUUAGUCCACAGGACUUACUUUUUCCUACUUUUCAAAGGUGAUCCAUCCGACUCCUUCUACUUGGAAGUGGAGAAUAGAAGGCUGUCCUUUCUAAGAAACACUUCUCUUCCUGAGCAUUCUAACAUGAUAGUGGCUGAUGAUGGUCGUACCAUUAUGUCCUCCUCAAGCUUGAGAUAUCUUCGUCGCGAAAGGCAAAUGCUGUACAGGCAAAUGCAGAAAAAGUUAUCCCUAGAAGAAAGGAUCACAAUCUAUUCCAAGUGGAGAAUUGCUCUCAACACGAAACAGAGGAGCCUGCAGCUGGCCCAGCUUGUCUGGACAAAAACUGACAUGCCACAUGUCAGGGAGAGUGCAUCGCUUGUAGCCAAGUUGAUUGGAUUUCAGGAGCAAGGGGAGGCCCUCAAGGAGAUGUUUGGACUCAGUUUCAUACCACAGCAAACUAACCAUAGAUCCUUCAGCUUCACAUACAGGAAGUCUUUGCUCAUGUGAGGAAUACGUUCGUAUGGUUCACAAGGCACUUCAUAAAUAGAAUUACAACUGAAGCACUUGGCUGAUUGAACCCUGUGGAUUCUGCACACACAAGCUUCCACGACUCUGCAGUUACUGCCACCAGUAAAUAGUAUUUGGAGUAGCAGUGCUACUCAGAUUGUUUGAUCUCAUCCAUAAAGUCAACUAAGCUACAGCAAGCAUAGAGAGGACUUUCAAAUGAUGUGAGAAGUCAAUGGUGGAAGGAGUCAUUGGUCUAAAAGUCAAGGCAAAAGAACAGAAAACGUGUGGAACUUUGCAGAGUGCAACCUCUCAGGGCCUGUGAUCUCAUAAUAAAUCUUUUGCCUGCCUGAAAGAGAGAGGAGGAGGAAGAAGAAGAAGAAGAAGAAAUGUAAAGGCAACCAAUUGCAUCCACUGGAUCCAAAGGAAACAAGUGGAAGCUUGCUUUACCUUCUUCUCUUUGGCUGGGGAUUUGACUGAGCCUUGGUUUUGUAAUGGUUCAUUUAGAAUUGGUUCUCUUCUCAGUGGAAGCUUUCCAGUCAACACCUAGAAGAUUAUUCUAUGCAGGCACCAGUCUUUUUUGUGCAGCAAUUCAGAUGCUGGCCAUCACCACACCACACCACCACACAAAUCUUGUUCUGCCAAAGCAAAUUCUGGAUUCCUGAACAGUCUAUGUGACCUGUUCUUCCAAUGCUUGCUUUUAGCACCACAAACACCAACUUCAAGAAGGUGAGCUUGCUCAAAUGGACCUGCAAAUUUGGAGCUGGUCUUAAAAAAAUCUCUACCAGAGAAGGUGAUCAGCAUUAGCAUUCAAGUGGAUGAUUGUAUCAUCUCUAAGAUUCUUGGAAAGCUAUGUUCCACACAGAGAUUUGCUCCAAGGAUGAUAACUUGAUGAUCAGGGAAUACAAGCCAAGAAGGAAAAAGUAAAAGAUGAUGACACAAGGGAAGAUAAAGUUGGCAAGCUUAAAGUGAAAGGCCACCUAUUCAAAGUUGCAUCACCUUCAAGACUACUACAUGCAUCUCCAUCAAUUGCCAUCAGCUCCUCCAAUAAAGAAAAAAGCAAGCAAAGAAAAAGAAAAGACCACUUAGUAAUGCUAUUUUCCUUUCAUUUUUUUUCCUUUUUCUCAUGAUGGCUUAGCAUGAUUCUCGCAGCCAUCCUGCAAUAAUGUCAAUGGUGCUAAUCCAGCAUGGUGUGUAAACAGAUAAUGUAAAAGAAGACAUACUAUAUAUUAUAUAUAUUUCUUUUCUUAUUAGGUAUCAUUUUAUAUUGAUUUACUGCGGCGUCAGUGUGCCGUAAUAACCGCGAGUUUGCGCACUCGGCGACACGCAGUGUUUCGGGAGCGAUUUCGGCACCCCGAACCGAGAAUUCCUCCAUCCCCCGCUCCCACUCGUUUCGUCGAACACUCUUCUCAACCAUCCCGCUUCCGACACGUCCAUAUAUGACGUCACCUUACUGAGAGUUGAUAGUGUUGUACGGGUCGUUUGCUGCGGGGGGUGUUAUGGCAGAUCGGUUUGAAAUGGGACCGGAAGAAACA